GCUCGAGUGGCGAAAUUGGCAAACGCGCCAGACUUAGGAUCUGGUGCCGAAAGGCUUGAGGGUUCGAGUCCCUCCCCGAGCACCA
rnacentral:tRNA from 1 species